rnacentral:rRNA from 1 species
GAUGAACGCUAGCUACAGGCUUAACACAUGCAAGUCGAGGGGCAGCGCAGUGUAGCAAUACACGGGCGGCGACCGGCGCACGGGUGCGUAACGCGUAUCCAACCUUCCCGUUACUCAGGGAUAGCCUUCCGAAAGGGAGAUUAAUACCUGAUGGUGUUCAAAUUCCGCAUGUUAUUUGAACUAAAGAUUCAUCGUUAACGGAUGGGGAUGCGUGACAUUAGAUAGUAGGCGGGGUAACGGCCCACCUAGUCUACGAUGUCUAGGGGUUCUGAGAGGAAGGUCCCCCACACUGGAACUGAGACACGGUCCAGACUCCUACGGGAGGCAGCAGUGAGGAAUAUUGGUCAAUGGUCGGAAGACUGAACCAGCCAAGUAGCGUGAAGGAUGAAGGUUCUAUGGAUUGUAAACUUCUUUUAUACGGGAAUAAAACCUCCCACGUGUGGGAGCUUGUAUGUACCGUAUGAAUAAGCAUCGGCUAACUCCGUGCCAGCCGCCGCGGUAAUAC